AAUGAGGUGGCCGAUUGGUUAAGGCGAUAGACUGCAUUGUGCUCUGCAUGCAUGGGUUCAAAUCCCAUCCUCAUCA